UUGUAGGAAGGCUAAUGAUCCUGUGAAUUAAUGUUUAUGCAGUUAUUAUGCUGAAAGUAUUUAGGACAUGUCGCAGUUUCCUGGUGGCAUUUAGUAGAACUCAUUUAUACUAUCAUAUCAUCAUCAAGUGAAGAUACACUGAUAUCUACUUUUUGAAAAUGUAUACCCUUUAACUAUGCAGUAAUCUGAUUGUUCUAGCUAGGACUUCAAGUACUACAAUGAUUAUGAAUGGAGUAGCAAACCUUGUCUUCUUCCUGGUUUCAUUUUAAUUGUUUUGAGUUUCUCUCCUUUUAUGUUGCCAUUGGCCAUGAGCUUGGUAUAAACUGCAUUUAUUGUGUUCAGUUAUGUCUCUCAUAUUCCUAAGCUCUCUAUGACUUUUAUUAAGAAAGGUCUUAUAUUUUUCUCAAAGGGAUUUUCUGCAUCUAAUGAAAAUCUAUCCUGUAGUUUUUAUAUUGAACCAUUGCUCACUCAUUGGGAUGAAGUAUAUAUGAUCAUGGAAGAUGAUACUUUUCAGGUGGCUUCAUUCUCAGAUCACUUUUCUGAAUAAUAUCUGGGCUAAUUCAUGAAGGAGCUUGUACUCACUACAUGGCGAUUGUUAACAUUUAGGGCUUUUGUGAACUGCCAUCCAAAUCAUUGGGUCCAGACACCAGGUUUCAGUAACUCUGGAAGGGUAUGCAGCUGAGAGAAGACCAGUAAUGUGUGCUCUUCUGCUGUAGACUGUGCCCUCAGUCUUGCCUCAGGUAACUGAAAAAUUACCUGGAACACUGUAUUAUUAUUAUUUACAAAUAAACCAGUUCUCAAAAUAUUA